AGUGCUUAAAGACUGGUAAUUAAACUAUAACUAGCAAGAAAUGAGAAACUGAUUACAUCUGCUUAUUUGGACAGUGAAUGGAACCACAUAUUCUGCCUGUUGGCAAACACCAAAUCUGUAUAGUUUAUUUUCUUCAAAGGGAAUCAUGAUUGCCAACAAUCACUCAGCACCAACAAUUUACUGAAUGUUUAUCUGCCUGCAUUCUUCUUGUGGCUGGAAAUGUAGCAGUGAACCAGACCGAGACCCUGAUCCGCUGGGUAUAUAGCUGGGGGAGUCAGACAUUCAUGAAAAUGACUUCUAGUGCCACAGAUAUUUCAAAAGAUGCAGUAAAGAGUUCUGUGGGUCUGAAUGAUAUGGUGUGCUAACCAAAUAUGUGAAGGUGGCGAAGGUCUCCUAGAAGAAUUGGUGCAAAACUUGAGUCUCAAAGGAUGAGCUGGGUGAGGAGUUGGGCACAGUAUUCUGGGCAGUGGGAACAUCAUGGACAGAAGCCUGAAUGCAGCGGAGAGACUGACUCACUUGUGGGCAUGAAGGAGAUCAGCAUGACUGGAUUGGAGCUCACUUCCUGGUGUUUUCACCUCAUUGCAUCCCUGGUUGGUUUCUGUUGCUUGCAAUGAAAGAACCCUUACAAAUGCAAUAAUGCAGAAGUAACAAUGAAGAUGACACUGAUUCACACAAGAUUUAAUUUGUUACAUGAGUAAAUAAACAAAGCAAAAUGAACAGAAUUUACUAUACUGCAUCCCUGCUGGGAGUAUGUUGAGCUAUCUGGCCUGGAAGGCCUUUGUGACCUGUUGAAAGAAUAUACAUGGAUUUACUUCAGGAGAAAAAUAAAGUGUUAUUUUAAAAAU
rnacentral:lncRNA from 1 species